rnacentral:lncRNA from 1 species
UGGGUGUGCAAAAGCCUUAGAAAACUUCUAAUUAAAAGGGCAAGGAUGGGAAUGCUUUUUACAAGUCAGAAUCUAGUAUUUGAAUAUGUAACUAAUUUAAUGUUUAGUUUCCUUUUUAAAAUGUUGUGUGCCAUCACAAAAAAAAUAGGUAGCCUGGGGAUGAUUGAGGGGCACAAGGAGAAUCUGGGGUUGGUGGGUUUCAUGGAGAUGGACACUGAUCAUGCUGACCCAGAAGAGCCAGAGAGUCAGGAAGACUUGACAGAAGUGCUGCCAUUCAGUACCCAUGAUGAAAUUUUUAGAAUUGCAUGGAAACACAGUAUGUCCAGCUAUAGACAGGCUCUAAAAACUGCCAGGGCCGAGCAUAUCCACAAACUCAUAGAAAAUAACCAAAGCAAUCCAAGGUUUUUAUUUAGCACAUUGGCUAGAUUGACAAAUAACCAGACACCACCCAAUCUAAAUAUUCCCUCACAGUUAAAUAGUAAUGACUUUAUGAAUUUCUUCACUGAUAAAAUAGAUAACAUCAGAAAUACAUUAACAAAUGUAGAUUCUACAGCGUCUAAUACUUCAGUUUCAUCCAUCGAACCCAAAGAUAAACUGCAGUGCUUUACAACUAUAGGACAGGAAGAGCUAAAUAAACUUAUCACUGUAUCUAAACCAACAACAUGUUUAUUAGAUCCUGUACCCACUAAAUUACUGAAAGAGGUGUUACCUGUAGCAGAAGAACUGCUUCUCAAUUUUAUUAAUUUGUCGUUAUCUUUAGGUCAAGUCCCAAAACCAUUCAAGUUGGUAGUUAUUAAGCCUCUUAUUAAGAAACCACAACUAGAUCCUAGUGAACUGGCAAAUUACAGACCCAUUUCAAAUCUUCCGUUUAUGUCUAAAAUUUCUGAAAAAGUUGUGUCUGCUCAAUUGUGCUCCUUCCUGCAAAAAAAAAAAAAGAUCUCUAUGAAGAAAUUCAGUCGGGUUUCAGGCCCCACCACAGCACAGAAACUGCACUUGUUAAAAUUACAAAUGACUUGCUUCUUGCACCAGACCAAGGCUGCAUCUCAUUGCUAGUGUUACUUGAUCUUAGUGCUGCGUUUGACACCAUAGAUCACGACAUACUCAUAGAUCACCAGUAAAAUAUGGAGUGCCACAAGGAUCUGUCCUAGGUCCUCUGCUAUUUUCAAUAUACAUG